UACGUAGGGGGCAAGCGUUGUCCGGAUUUAUUGGGCGUAAAGAGCGUGUAGGCGGUUAGGUAGGUUCGUUGUGAAAACUCGAGGCUCAACCUCGAGACGCCGAUGGAAACCAUCUAACUAGAGUCCGGAAGAGGAGAGUGGAAUUCCUGGUGUAGCGGUGAAAUGCGCAGAUAUCAGGAAGAACACCCGUGGCGAAGGCGGCUCUCUAGUACGGUACUGACGCUGAGACGCGAAAGCGUGGGGAGCGAACAGG
rnacentral:rRNA from 1 species